UUAGUUCAAUUUAUACAUAAUAGAAGUAUUUGAUGUUGGAGAUAAGAUUGAUUCAAUCUAGUUUUAACCUUCAGUUUUAUAUUAAAAUGAUUUCAUAAGAUAUAAUGUUUUUGAAAAUAUUAUGACAAUAAUUUCCAAGACAUAUCUAGAUAUACUAUUUCUUUACAAAACAUUUGAGAAACUACCGACUAUUCAAGUCUGGAAUGUUUGACUCAAAUCGAGAGAAUCCUAUAAUCCUCAAAUUAUUUAAGAGGGGGCACUGUACUUCCUUUCAUUAGUGAAUAGACCAAACAUUGGAACAACCUAGAGCUAACCAACAAACAUUGUACGGGAAAAUCAUAUAGUAAUGUAUUAAAAUAAAUUAUUCACCUGAUUAUUAUUAUAAAUUAUUUACUUAAUAAUUACUACCUCCGUCUCAUAAUAGAUGUCGCUUUGAUUUUUUUACUUGCAACGUUUGAUCAUUCGUUUUAUUUGAAAAAUUAGUGCAAAUAUAAAAAAUGAUAAGUCAUAUUUAAAGUACUUUUAAUAAUAAAACAAGUCACAAACAAAAUAAAUAAUAAUUCUAAAAUUUUUUGAAUAAGAUGAAUGAUCGAACAUUACAAACAAAAAACUCAAAGCGAUAAGUAAUAUGGGACGGAGGUAGUAUAAGAGUAACUUAAAUAUUUAAGAAGUAAACUUAAUCAGUAGCAAAUUAAUCGACCUGCUAUUAAUUAAUGUUGGUAUUUAUGUUAAUUUCCAGAGUAGGAUCUACGGCUCAAAUUAAAGCCAUAAAUCAAGUACUUUACAAAUCUAAAUUGAAAUUAGCUCAAAUAAUUGCAGUUACAAGCUUUUGUACAAUUCACCUAUGUUCUCAAUAAAACAAGUCAGAAUUAAUUAACAAGGGCUAAAACAAUCGAACUAAAUUAUAAAGAAGAAACAUAUCAUUUUUAAAGAAACACAGUUUUAAAGACAUUGAGUAAGUAAAUUAACCUACUCAUACAGAUAGGGUGUAUGUGUGUAUGUUCAAAGGGGUGGUUGUACGCGAGUUGUGGACGCAUACGUCUAUACAGUGGUGGAUCCACUGUUGGGGCUUGUCAGUGCGCAAGUCCCAGCUCCAUGAUCCCCUUCCUCUAAUUAGCAACUAAUGACUCUAUUAGCAUUUAGUGUAAAUCCAGUAGUAUGACAAGGAAAGCUAGCUCAAGCACUCAAUGUCCAAAUUAAAUUGCAAUGUCAAAUAUGUUAUAAGUAUACCAUAUCAAUUUCUUGAUACAUUUGUGUGUAUAUAUUAAUAUAGCUGCAAAUUAAAAUGGAGAAAGCAAUGGGUUGUCUUUUGAUCAUAUGGGUUUGGGUUUCAUCGAAAAUACUUAGUUGAUAUAUCCUAGUUUGUUUCAGUCACAUUGCCCAUAUUUAUACAAAGCCCUCCCUCAAUUUAUAUCUAGAUUCGCCACUGUGUCUAUACUGUGUUUUUCUUAAAAAAAAGACGUGGAGUAAAUAAUCAUACUUAAAAACAAGGCGAGAUGAGAUGACAAAAGAUGAGAGAGAGAGUAAAAAUCACCACUUUGGCUUGUAUAUAUCCCGGCCGCCGCUUGCUGCUUUCUUCUAGUCUUCUCCAAUUAUUCGCCCAUCUCUCUCUCUCUUCUUCCUCCUCUCCUCCAUGAAAGCUAGGGAAAUUAACUAAGGGCAGUGGUGCACCACAAGUUGGUGAAGCUGCCAGCAUGAUCUGAUGAUGAUGAUGAUCCACCUCUCUCAUCUGUGUUCUUGAUUAAUUACGGAUCAAUCGAUCAGGUCAUGCUGUAGUUUCAUCUGCUGGUUGGGAGCACAGCAAAAAAAAACCCUAACUUUGUAGCCGGAUUUGCAUGGAUUAAUCUGCUAGGUAGCUCAUCAGAUUCUUUGAGAGUUUGCCUUGCUCUUCUGCAGAUGAAGACGUAAUCUUUGAACAGAUGGGAUUCUCAACUCUCAAGGUGAGGUAGUCAUCAAUCCAAUCCAUAUACCUGCUCAAAUUCAGUUUUAAUUAAAGACUAGCUGCUUCUAUGGAGUUAAUUAGGGAUCCUUUUUUAUAGAUCUCUCUUGAUCUGUUUCUUAGUCUGUUCUUUCUUAAUAAGGCAUAUAUACCUCUUGGAUUUGGAUUUUCUUGAAAAUUAAGGUAGUUUAUGAGUUGGAUGUGUUGUGUUAUCUGCCCAGCCUUAAUUUAACUGUGCUUCCUAAAAAUUCGUUUGAUUUGAUGGUAGCAUCUGAAUUGUGAACUCAUCUUUGGAGCUUGGACUUUAGACCAGGUGCCUUAAUUCCUUAACAUAAGAUUUGGUCCAUAUUGUUUAUGGAGCUUCUUAUCAAGAAAUACUCUUUUGAUUAGGGAGUCCCCUUGUCACUUUCUUCAGUUGUGCAGGUACAUAUGACAUAUCUGUAUUAAACUGAUGACAUUCAUAACCAACUGUCCAAGUAGGGAUUCAUAUCUUUCUACUAAUUGCAGAAUGUUUUCUUGGCUGAAGGAAGUUUAAUCUAACUGUUCAAGUUAGUUGCUUGGUUAGCUGAUAGUGAUCCCUGUGUUUUCUAGUUGUUGAUACUGCAUAUACAUAUAUCUGUGACAUAUGGCUAGUUCUUGUUUGUUGUGUGUAGAUAAGAUACAUACAAGAUUCUGAUCUCUGCAGCAAAAGAAACAAAGCUUCCUUUUUUCUCUUGUUUUAUCCCCUAAUAUAUCUCUUCUUUUGCAGUUCUAGCUAGCAAUUUCACUGUAAAACAUGUGUAUUACCGAUCAAUACUGGCAUAUAUCUGAACUUGAUGCAAUACAUGUGUAUUACUGAUCAAUACAUAAAACUGAAAAUGUGGAACAUAUCUGCUAAUUAUUUUCAUGAGUGUGGCUUUGAUUAUUGUGAUCUUGCCACUUGCCAGCAAUGAUGUUAGCUAGUGAUGGGAAUAUCACCUGACCAAAGGAGGGACAUGAUUAACCUUGCUAAUUAAGUAACAAGAAAAGGAGGAGGGGGCAAAAGAAUUAUGGAAUGGGUUUUCUUGACCUGAAGACAAGUAGUAAGAUUUGCUAAUGCUUGCUUGCAAGAUAUGCAUGCCUAACCACAAAACAAGGAGUUUGGCACUACAAAACUGAAUGAUGAUUGCCUCUUGCUUGAAGGAUGAAACUGCUGCCCAUCUUUUGAUCAUGGCACCCCCUUCGCAUAUGCAUGAUUGCCCACACUUUUCUCCUCUUUUGGGCUCUGUACUAUGGAGAUAUUCAAGCCAUUUUCUUGAGAUUUUCUCUGCAAUGUAAUGACCUGUUCUGUCCCUUGAUGUUUCACUUGCAAAGGAGACUGUACUACAGCAUCUCUCUCUCUAGUCUCUACCUCUCUUGAUGUUUCACUUGCAAAGGAGAUUGUACUACACCACCAUCUCUCUCUACCAAUCUCUCUCUCUCUCUCUCUAAUUAGUUGCAAGUUUUGUUGGCAUCUCUAACCACCUCUCCACACUCAUGGUCAUGGCCAUGGCUAGCACAUUUGUCACCUAGCUUGCAUUGCAUGGUCCUUUGGAAGAUUCAUGGGCCACACACACAUGGUGACAUUCAUGCAAAGCUCCAAGCAGGUCUCCUUUAUUGUGAUUUGGUCAGCUAGCUGGUUUGUUACAAGAUGCCCACAACCUUUGUCCUUUCAAUUCAAUGCAGUGUGCAGUGUGUGCCUGCAACUUUCAUAUACAUGUUGUACCAUCAUGUGUCCUCUUCCUGGCUUGCAAAAAUGUAAUGGCUAAUCACAUCCAUCAUGCUUGCAAAUUAAGCUAAUUAAUUAAUCACAGGUGGCUAGCUAAUUACCAACUGAUGAUGAUGAUUAGUGACAGGCAAAGAUGAUAAUCUAGAUAUCUUGUUCUUCUCACUACUGUCUUGUCAUUGUUGGCGUGGAGUGCAAUGCUGCCGUUUGUGUGGCUCCAGAAAGUCAUAUUCAGAUGGUUUGCAAGGAUUAGAAGUCAUGGGUGUACUGUGUGCAAAUUGAACUUGUCAGGAACAGUGACUGAAUUUUAUUGUUCAGGCUUUGCUUGUCUGAACUCAAGAAGAGGUAGAGCUAGGGUGUUAUUUUUUUUAUCUGAUUUAUGUGAUACAUAAUCAACUACCAUUCGUUUGACAGAACAAGAUUGAUAGGUGCAUGUUCAGAGAAGUUCCUUCAGGUUAAUUUCUUAUCAGCUUAAGAUUUUCCUCCUUUUUUCUCUCUAGUAGCUAAAGUACACUUGCAUGUACAAUAUAUUCAACCGGAACUUACACAGAAGAGCUAAUUUAACUUAUAGUAUAUGCAAAUUGUUCUUGUUUUUCUCAUACCUGCAUCAGAUAUUCAGAUUAGUGAUACGAGUAAUGGGCCUGUUCGGCUGCUUUGUACCGCCGCUGCCCUGCCACAGCUGGAGAAACAAUAUACCAUGCUUGUUGGCUGCACCCGAAUAGAGCCAAUACACUCAGAAUAAGUUCACUUUAGGUCCCUCAAUUUGUCACCCAGUCUGAUUUGCAUUCUCAGUCCAGAAAAACGGAUACAACGCAUCCCUCAACUUACAAAA